rnacentral:rRNA from 1 species
UCCAGACUCCUACGGGAGGCAGCAGUGGGGGAUAUUGCACAAUGGGGGAAACCCUGAUGCAGCGAUGCCGCGUGAGUGAAGACGGCCUUCGGGUUGUAAAGCUCUGUCGCAGAGGACGAAAAUGACGGUACUCUGUAAGAAAGCUCCGGCUAACUACGUGCCAGCAGCCGCGGUAAUACGUAGGGAGCAAGCGUUGUCCGGAAUUACUGGGUGUAAAGGGAGCGUAGACGGCAGCGCAAGUCUGAAGUGAAAUGCCGGGGCUUAACCCCGGAACUGCUUUGGAAACUGUGCAGCUAGAGUGCAGGAGAGGUAAGUGGAAUUCCUAGUGUAGCGGUGAAAUGCGUAGAUAUUAGGAGGAACACCAGUGGCGAAGGCGGCUUACUGGACUGUAACUGACGUUGAGGCUCGAAAGCGUGGGGAGCAAACAGGAUUAGAUACCCGAGUA